GGAUUUUUAGGAGUGAGCAAGAGACUAUAUUUGGCCAAAAAAUUCUGCUGGCUUUACUUAGCCACUCUGCACAUUCAAAACAAUACUUCUUUAUCAAAAAAACAAUAGUCUGUUUUAUUCACAGCACAUGUAGAAGUUGGAACAUCGACUAAAUUCCACUUUCUUCUCUCACAGUGUGUCUGUAACCAGCUAAUGAGCUGCAACAGAGGCUGGCCUUCAUUUUCAGCAAAUUAAGUUCAUCCCUCACAGGAAUUGUGGUCUGGCGGUGGCACCGCUCCUAGGUAUGGGUGGGGUUUGUUUCUUCUACCAGUUGUAGGUUAGCCACAUGGGUACGUGCUGUCGCACCACACAACAAAAUUUUCUCUAUAAUAACCGGUCUAAGUAGCCUUUUACCCCACAAAAGUAGAUCCCAUUUAAUUUACUUUGUGUUUAUAGCUCUCCCUCUCAAACCGCAUCAUUGGCACAGACUGAUAUUUAUACAACUUUUUAUUUUAAACUAUUUAUUUAGAGUUGAGACUUCAGUAGCACUCCCUGUCAGAUUCAUUGAGUAUGCUGAAGUUCAGGAUACUGAAAAUGUAAAUUGGGAAGCGUGAUGUGUCUUCGUGGGAUUCUUUCCGCUGGUGUAUGGACACCCACGCGACUCUCCCUGCAGUAAAGGGAGGUUAUACGUGUGUUGAUAAAUUUGUGAUACAAAUUGGUGGCAGGGAACUUUGUGUUGACCGGUGAUUAAAAAUGAUCGCUUUUGCCUUUCGUGUCUCCAUAUUUCUUUGACAAUGUAGUUGGUCAGAUAGGUGAUGUAACGUGCAUGUAAAAAUUUCUAAUUCAGAAGAAGCAGUGUCAUGUGGGAGUCUUUUCAUACGCAUGCACUAUUCUGUUCCUCAGUUAUUCUAGUGGAAGUUGCUAGACAAAUAGGUACUUGCCAGAGAAGAAAAGGAAAAUGCAGUUCUUGAUUUUGUGUCUCACUUCUGCUUUGGGGCCUUACUUACAUUACAUUUUUCUUAAAUACAGCUUUUCAGUUUUUUAACUUUUAAAGUGAGGGAAGGGAUGUAAAUUUCAAAUCAACACCUCACCACAUAAAAUUAGGUAGCAUAUGGUCAAUUUUUCUACUCAUGGUGGACAUUUCGUAUUGUUAAUGAUAUUGAAUGUGCAUUUUCUAUGAGGUUCCACAUGUUCUUAAGUCUGUACUAUUUUGUGAUCUAAAAGUACAAGUCAAGUCUUGCUUCCAUCUUUGGUCCUCUUUUACUUUCUUCUUUCGGUGAACAGCUGUUUUUAAGACAGCUCUUAUAUUGUCUCUUCAGUGAAAAAAGUUGCGUCUUCUCAAAGAAGAACACACUCCAUUGUAGCAGGGUAAUCUUUGAGAUAUUGACUAGUGCUGCUGUCCUCCUAGUAUUUCCUAUACUCCCUACCCUUCCUCCGCAGUCAGGAAACUAAGCUACUUUAGGGAAGGGCCAAAAAGUAAAACAAGUGACAAUAAAGGAACUGACCUUUUUGUUUUUCUAACUCAAACCUAAGCUCCCAAUUUAGAAAAGAGAGUUGAAAAAAUCAGGGGUCAGUUUCUGUUGUGCCCUUCCCAGCCCAGGGUAGGUAAAGACUUGAUGGGUCUUGGGAAGGGAAGAGAGUUGAGAAGGGAAAAAAGAAGCUUAGAUGCUGGUGGGUCCAUGAGAAGGGGCGCAGACAGAGCCUGGAAUGGUAAAGAAACAGGGAGGAAGUGCUGGACAGGGGGGAAAAAUAGCUGUGAGAGAGCAAGGUCUCUGGCGAGGUCUCUGGCGAGGUCUUGCUUCUGGGCUGAGGAGGAUGGCCCAGCGCAGAAGUGAUGGGGGUUCCCCAUAGAGUCCAGAGAGAAGGGAUGAUGCAGUGAGGACUGGAUUCCGCACCCCUACCCUGGUCUCCAGACUCCCUUGUUCAUUUUAAGCCGUCUGGAAGUUAGAGGCAACCCAGGGAAGAGGGGAUGAGAGAGGCCUUAUUUCAGCCGCUGUGUGAGUGGGGGCUUCAAAUAAAAAAUAAAUUGUUAUGGGAAAAAAUAAAACGAUACAGUGUUUGUACAUCUGAGUUUGUUGGCUCCAGGUUUGUAUGCAUCCAAGGAAGAAAUUGUGCCUUCCUCCUUGUCUUAAUCCUGUGUCAGAGAGUGUGUGACACGUAGUAGGCACACAACAAACAGUUGGUCACAGAGUGAAUCAAUAUUGUAGAGCAGGAGUUGGCUGCCGACCGCUCCAUAUCUUUGAUCUGGUUUCUCUGUUGGGUCAGAAAAAAAAGUCCUGCCUUAUUUCUGCCUGCUGCAUGCCAGCUUGGCCUGUUUACUCCUGCGGUUUCCCAAAUUCCAAAACAAUGCGGCAUUGCCUGAAAUUACACUUCAGCGCUUUCUGGAUCAUUUCUGCCGCCCACCCUACUUGCAGCGACUCCACUUCAGUUCCUUGCAUGCCAGCUGCUGCGAUAGCUCGCUGUCACUAAACCUCUACAUGCGUCUACCCCAGAGGAGUUAAGUGGGACCACAUCAGUGCUGAGGAACUGGCUGUCUUCCAGAGCUGGGCCAUUCUGUCUUGUGCUUUGGUGAGGUCUAUUUUCUCCAUGGCCUUUCAGUGAGGAGAGGGGCCUGGGAUAGGGCAGAGCCCGGAAAAUAGAAACAGAAUGCCCAGCGUGGGUGGAAAACGUCCCCUUUCCCUCUUGAGUUGAGGAGAUCCAUUCAGAGGACAUUCCACUUAUACAUUCCCUUCUGGUCUAAUUUUUCCUCAACUUUUUUUUGCUUCUGGCACCUGUAAACCAGAUGGGCUAUCCAUUGACAUACCAAGUUGUAGGAUGAGGUGGGCUGUUCUUUUUCCUCCUUCAGCCCUUGUAAAAGCAUCUGCCGUUUCCUUCAUGCAUUGUUUAGACCUCAGUGUCCGUGGCUUCUAAGUCCUAUUUGUGUGAUCCAGAAGUUUCUCAAGCACUUUUAAACUUUAAUACAUAAAGUACCAGUACCACUUUGAUAACUUUUAGACAUAAGUCUGGAAUAUGUAAGAAAGUGUAAACUGCCCUCCACUCCUACUACUUUCUUAUGCCAGUUCCUAUAUUUUUGGUUGCAAGUAGAAAAAAGCCCAGUGCAAGCUGGCCUAACAGGAAUGUAAGGGCCUCUUAACUGAAAGGUGGUGUAGUGUAGGUGGCUCUAUUUUAUCAAGAAAACUGGAUUUUUUUCCUAUCUCCCCACUCUGCCUCUGAAAGUUUCCCUCAUGGUCACGAGAUGGCUGCCGGCACCUGACACCAGGGCUGCCUGUUUUCCUGUUCACGUCCUGCAGAGACUUGGGAGCAUCUAAGGAACCUCCUUUCCAGAAGCCCUCAGCAACUAUAUCCUUAAAUUGUAUCUGCCCAAUUUUGAAACACUGUGACACGUCACUCUCCCCCUGCUCUUUCAUUUGUCACCUCUACCGUCUAUUUAGUUAAAAUAGCUAAAAGGGAAUGAGGACAAUAUAAUACAUCCAAGUGGGCCUGGAGGAGACAGCAAUGAAGAAUAUCCUCUUGGUGACACAGACUCCAGCUGCUGGCAAUUAAUCACUCUCACUUAAUUAAUCAAUCAAUUGAAGCUGAUUGGGGCUGUGAAAAGAGUUUAGCAAAACUGUGUUCAAGCAUUGCUGUUUACUUGAUGUGUAAUCCCAGUCAAUUUGUUACACCUCGCAGAAACCCAGUUUUCUUCUGGGGAUCAAAUGAGAUGCUUUUGAAAGCAUGCUGAUAGCAUUUAUGAUCUCCAAAUGCCAGGUAUUAUCAUUAUUAUUAUUAUCAUUAUUAUUCCUGUUUUAAAUAAAAUAAGGAAACUGGUCUUCAUUAUGAGAUCUAUAUUAAAAGGUUUUGUAGCAUAUCAGAGUCUUCAUUCAUUCAAAAAUAAAAUUUAUGGACAAUUUGAAAUGGGCAAGACUGUGCUAGAUGCUAGGAAUAUAGCCUAUAUAAAUAAAUGUGAAUAUUAAUUAUCUAUAUAGAGAAAAUUAAUAUAAAAUGACAUAGGAAAUGGAGUUGCAUAUUCCAGGGCAUACCUAGAAAAUUUACUUUUUCUCCUUGAGUAACCACUUCAUCUUUGUUUGAAUUUUUUCCCUUUUAUUUUCUUUUUCCUUGUCUGGGUGAAGAUGAGAAAUUCAUUUAGCUAAGGAUGUAAGUCGACUAGAUUCCAAUUAAUUGAGUUUUCGCUAUGUAUGUAUUAUAUUAAGAAUGUUGUAUACUGUUUGUUGAUUUAUAUAUAAUGUUGCAAUAUAUAUUACUAAUACAUCAACUUUUUAACAAAUUGGAAUUUUUCAGCACUUCCUUAGGAAAACUCCUUUUUCUGUAACUAAUUUCGGACUUUUGAAAUAUGAAUAUUAAAUAUAAAGUUAAUUGUUUUAAAAGUUUGAGUUCAUGACCAUCAAAACCAAUACCUCCCUUUCCACUUGAACUACCAUAAAGUUCAGAGUUCAAUUUAGACCUUUCCUGAGAAAUGGUCUAUUUCAGGUUCUUCUGUUUAUCUCCUUGCUCUUUUUGAAUUAUCUUUAUUCAACUUUAUUUUUAAUUCAUUCAUGUUACAUAUUUCAGUGUUUUCAUAUUCUUUAUGAAAGUUACAAAAAGGAAGAAGAGAGAUAUGGAGGGAGAAAGGAAAGAAAAGAGGAAAGAAAAAUGGCCAUGGGAGGUGGAAUGUCAAUGAUGCUGAAGGUUUGAACCUGGAUGAUCUCAGAAAAGGGCUGCAAGUUUUCUGGCUCUGCCUUGAAGAGAGAAGAUCCUGGAGUAGCAGGUGUGUGUCGCAGCAGGAGCAGAGGGUAAUGAUGCCGGGAUGCCAUGCUAGGUAACAUGCACAACCGGUUUGUUUGAACAACAAGAACAUGUUAAAUUCAAGCCUUCCUAUGGAUUUGCUCUUUUCUCACUUCUGGUUGAAAUCCUAGGUGAGUUCCAUAGCUUUUUCAUCCACUUUUGUACAAUAAAAGAAGUAUUCUAGUCUCAUAUAGUCAUAAUAAUAAUCCCAUUUCAGUAAUGAAAAUGAACUCCCAAUUUCAUGUAAAGUUAAAAGCUUCUCUCACCCCCUUUUUGGUCCCGCUGCAGAUGAAGAACCCUUUUGACAUCUCUGUCACCGCCAGCUCUGGAGUUUCCGCUUCCUUGUUGGGGUGGGAGGGAGCAGGGCACGGGCAGGUAUGCUAGUGAUCUGUUGUCUUGUUGUGUGUGUACAACUGACCAGUGGGACACUUUUGUGAGCUCCUUAGAGGUUCCCUCAGCAGAACCAUCCAGUCACCUCUCUUCUGCUUAAAUGCUUUAACUGUUCCUCAAUUUGGACAUCAGUUAGGACCCCUCAGCUUCCCUAUGCUAAGGUUACACCAUCCCUAGAAAAAAUCCUUUCAAAAGAACCCCUUAGCCAACUCCCAUCUAAGGGACCCACUUCUGGUCCACAGAAACAUGAAACUCUCUCCUAUUGUUGGGAGUACAGCUCCAAGUACAGCCACAUCUCUUUGCUCUGCCACCAAGCAGACAACUCCAGCUAUAUAAUCUUUUGCCUGACGUUUCUCAAGGGUGAACUAAGCACUUGUCCUCUUUGUCCUCCUAACUUUAAGGAACUAAGAUCAACCUCCCUGAGAGGUACUCUCAAAGCCUCUCUCCUAGGGGAGGGAGAUGGAAAAUUGCUGCAGCCUCCAACAACUUUCUCCAGAGAAAUUCUUUUGUCUCUUUCAGUUUCCUCAGUUUCAGCUCUUUGAGACCCUUGAGUAGAUGUUGAGUCGCCACGUGGUCGUAGUCCACCUCCUUUCAAGUCUUGUAGAGGAGGUCUCGUGCCUCAUUUCGAAAUGUGGGAGAACAUGCCACCUAUUGUUUUGUUCUUAAUUUCAAGGGGCCUCCCCCCAAACUUAGCAAGAGUCCUUCCCUAACACUUUGUUACACAGGCAAGUAUGAGAUGUGUGUAAACCAUGGGCACUAACCAGAAUAAAACUAAUUCACUUAUGGGAAUUUAAAUGCUUAAACAUAGCUCACAAUAAGCAAACAAUAUUGAACAUCAUUUUAAAAAUGUAAAACCACAUAGAAAUCUAUCAAUUAAUUCAUUCAACAAAAAUUGCUUACCAUUUCCUAAGUGCUGACAUUAUCCCAGGUGCUUGAUGUGCAAACAUAUGAUCCUUUUCCUCAUGGAACUAACCAUCUAAUGAGAAAGUCAUAUGCUAGAAUAUGUCCAAAAGUAAUCAGAACACAAUUUAGCAUCACAAUAGAAGGCUCUGCAAAGACCUAAGGGAGCACAGAAGACCGAGUAUCUGAAUUUAAGAAAGGCUUCACAAGGGACAUUUGAGCUGGGUCUUGAGUGAAGACAGGGCUUCCCCAGGGAGAAAGGAGGAAAGUGCAUUUCAGAUGCACAAUGGUUGUGUGAAGGAAGAGACGGAGAGUUUGGAUGGUGUGGCGUGGGAACAAUGAAGAAGGGGUGCAGCUGGUACAUAGGCUGGUGUGAUUGUGGGAUAUGAAUUUGGGGAUUUGGAAAGACUGUUUUAUGCCAAAGAGUUUCAACUUCUUCCUACUUGUACUGGGACAGUAUAAUUAUUGUUUUGCUUUUCAAAUGCUUGUUUAAAAAUCUUACACACAUGUUAUGUAUCAAUAUAUAUAAAAGUGAUCAUAUACAUAUUGCUUUUUCCUUUUCCUUUUUUAAUUGGGUCCUCCUUCCCACUCUUCUCUCUCUUCUCUGUCUUCUCCCCAUUCCCUAGCCACAUUUUUUCCUCUCCAAUUCUUAACACUUAUUUUGUAUCCUUUAUUUAUUUUCUCCUUGGUUACAUAAUCAUAUUCAAG
rnacentral:lncRNA from 1 species